rnacentral:rRNA from 1 species
AUUGAACGCUGGCGGCAGGCCUAACACAUGCAAGUCGAACGGGUGGCGGACGGGUGAGUAAUGUCGUGGAAACUGCCUGAUGGAGGGGGAUAACUACUGGAAACGGUAGCUAAUACCGCAUACCAUCAGAUGGGCCCAGAUGGGAUUAGAUUGUUGGUGGGGUAACGGCUCACCAAGGCGACGAUCCCUAGCUGGUCUGAGAGGAUGACCAGCCACACUGGAACUGAGACACGGUCCAGACUCCUACGGGAGGCAGCAGUGGGGAAUAUUGCACAAUGGGCGCAAGCCUGAUGCAGCCAUGCCGCGUGUAUGAAGAAGGCCUUCGGGUUGUAAAGUACUUUCAGUGGGGAGGCGUUACCCGCAGAAGAAGCACCGGCUAACUCCGUGCCAGCAGCCGCGGUAAUAC